ACGCACGCUGGCGGCGUGCCUAAUACCUGCAAGUAGAACGCUGAAGGAGGAGCUUGCUCUUCUGGAUGAGUUGCGAACGGGUGAGUAACGCGUAGGUAACCUGCCUGGUAGCGGGGGAUAACUAUUGGAAACGAUAGCUAAUACCGCAUAACAGUAGAUGUUGCAUGACAUUUACUUAAAAGGUGCAAUUGCAUCACUACCAGAUGGACCUGCGUUGUAUUAGCUAGUUGGUGGGGUAACGGCUCACCAAGGCGACGAUACAUAGCCGACCUGAGAGGGUGAUCGGCCACACUGGGACUGAGACACGGCCCAGACUCCUACGGGAGGCAGCAGUAGGGAAUCUUCGGCAAUGGACGGAAGUCUGACCGAGCAACGCCGCGUGAGUGAAGAAGGUUUUCGGAUCGUAAAGCUCUGUUGUAAGAGAAGAACGAGUGUGAGAGUGGAAAGUUCACACUGUGACGGUAUCUUACCAGAAAGGGACGGCUAACUACGUG
rnacentral:rRNA from 1 species